GGGGGUAUAGCUCAGUGGUACAGCAUUUGAAUGCUAAUGGAGAGGUCCCCUAUUCAAACCAAGGUGUCCCCU